rnacentral:rRNA from 1 species
AUCUCGAAAGCCUGUCCCAGUUCGGACUGGAGUCUGCAACCCGACUCCACGAAGUUGGAUUCGCUAGUAAUCGCGCAUCAGCCAUGGCGCGGUGAAUACGUUCCCGGGCCUUGUACACACCGCCCGUCAAGCCAUGGGAGCCGGGGGCGCCUGAAGUCCGGGACCGCGAGGACCGGCCUAGGGCGAAACUGGUAACUGGGGCUAAGUCGUAACAAGGUAGC